rnacentral:lncRNA from 10 species
UGAGAAACACCCAAGAAUGAUCAAUAAAAAAAAAAAAAAUAAAAUAAAGUAGAAGGGUGGGGGAAAUGUGAUUAUUCCAAACCCGGCGUGUCUUUAUGAUUUUAUAUCCAACUGAUCAUUCAGGGAGGUUAUUAGGACAGUGGUUGAAACAGAAAUUUAGGAUAAUAUUCUAAGAAACAGAAAAAGCAGUCUUCUCAUUCUAACUGGCAAAACCAACAGAGAUAACAAAAAAAAAUUUUUUUUUUCCCCAGGAAGAGCGUGUGCAUUCAAACUUGUUCAUUCAUUAAUUUGAGUUGAAGGGAGGGGGACGUCCUUGGUGGAAAAGUUAAAGAAAGUGCUCUGGAUGAGAAAUUCACAGGGAGACAUAAGACAACAGCUCAGAGUGGAAGAAAUAGAUGUUCUCAGGAAGAGGCUGUAUGCUGUCCUGGUUUCGAGCAUCUGCCCUACAGUCAGAAUGCCUGCAUUUGAAAUAAGUUUCUGCCACGAACUAGCUGUAAGACCGUGGGACAGGAAGCAGCUAAAUCAUACAUUUCAUUAUCAGGACUUUUGACUGCUCUGAACUGAUUUCAAGAAAAAUGCCUUGUUUGAAUCCAGUAGCUGAUGUGGUUGAAAAGCACAAAAAUAUG